GAACGCUAGCUACAGGCUUAACACAUGCAAGUCGAGGGGCAGCAUGAACUUAGCUUGCUAAGUUUGAUGGCGACCGGCGCACGGGUGAGUAACACGUAUCCAACCUGCCGAUAACUCGGGGAUAGCCUUUCGAAAGAAAGAUUAAUACCCGAUAGUAUAGUUUCACCGCAUGAUGAAACUAUUAAAGAAUUUCGGUUAUCGAUGGGGAUGCGUUCCAUUAGGCAGUUGGUGAGGUAACGGCUCACCAAACCUUCGAUGGAUAGGGGUUCUGAGAGGAAGGUCCCCCACAUUGGAACUGAGACACGGUCCAAACUCCUACGGGAGGCAGCAGUGAGGAAUAUUGGUCAAUGGGCGCGAGCCUGAACCAGCCAAGUAGCGUGAAGGAUGACGGCCCUAUGGGUUGUAAACUUCUUUUAUAUGGGAAUAAAGUUUGGUAUGUAUACCAUUUUGUAUGUACUAUAUGAAUAAGGAUCGGCUAACUCCGUGCCAGCAGCCGCGGUAA
rnacentral:rRNA from 1 species